rnacentral:rRNA from 1 species
UACGUAGGGGGCUAGCGUUGUCCGGAAUUAUUGGGCGUAAAGAGCUCGUAGGCGGUUUGUCGCGUCUGCUGUGAAAGACCGGGGCUCAACUCCGGUUCUGCAGUGGGUACGGGCAGACUAGAGUGCAGUAGGGGAGAUUGGAAUUCCUGGUGUAGCGGUGGAAUGCGCAGAUAUCAGGAGGAACACCGAUGGCGAAGGCAGCUCGCUGGGACGGUACUGACGCUGAGGCGCGAAAGCGUGGGGAGCAAACAGG